rnacentral:rRNA from 1 species
UACGGAGGUCCCUAGCGUUGUUCGGAUUUACUGGGCGUAAAGGGCGCGUAGGCGGCGCCGCAAGCCGAGUGUGAAAUCUCCGGGCUCAACCCGGAAAGUGCGCUCGGGACUGCGUCGCUGGAGGACGGGAGAGGGAAGGGGAAUAUAGGGUGUAGCGGUGAAAUGCGUUGAUAUCCUAUAGAACACCGGAGGCGAAGGCGCCUUCCUUGAACGUGACUGACGCUGAGGCGCGAAAGUCGGGGGAGCAAAC